CGACUCUCGGCAACGGAUAUCUCGGCUCUCGCAUCGAUGAAGAACGUAGCGAAAUGCGAUACCUGGUGUGAAUUGCAGAAUCCCGYGAACCAUCGAGUCUUUGAACGCAAGUUGCGCCCGAAGCCGUCAGGCCGAGGGCACGUCUGCCUGGGUGUCACG
rnacentral:rRNA from 1 species